rnacentral:ribozyme from 1 species
UGCUCAGCAGCUCCUAUCUCUACCUCGUCGCAUUACUGGCCGGGGUCCGAGCAACCUUAUGGAAAAUCGCCCCAACCCCGAGGGAAACUUUGGUCGUAUGCUGACAGGGAAGG